rnacentral:rRNA from 1 species
GACGAACGCUGGCGGCGUGCUUAACACAUGCAAGUCGAACGGAAAGGCCCUGCUUUUGUGGGGUGCUCGAGUGGCGAACGGGUGAGUAACACGUGAGUAACCUGCCCUUGACUUUGGGAUAACUUCAGGAAACUGGGGCUAAUACCGGAUAGGAGCUCCUGCUGCAUGUGGGGGGUUGGAAAGUUUCGGCGGUUGGGGAUGGACUCGCGGCUUAUCAGCUUGUUGGUGGGGUAGUGGCUUACCAAGGCUUUGACGGGUAGCCGGCCUGAGAGGGUGACCGGCCACAUUGGGACUGAGAUACGGCCCAGACUCCUACGGGAGGCAGCAGUGGGGAAUAUUGCACAAUGGGCGGAAGCCUGAUGCAGCAACGCCGCGUGCGGGAUGACGGCCUUCGGGUUGUAAACCGCUUUCGCCUGUGACGAAGCGUGAGUGACGGUAAUGGGUAAAGAAGCACCGGCUAACUACGUG